GUGAAGAUCAUUAAUAGCGAGAACAUCCAGGAGGCGGCGAGGGAGACCGAUGGCUACUUCAUCAAGAGUGGCAUUGUGACUGUAAUCAAAGAUGCUCUGAUCCCCAGUGGCACUAUCAUAUAAACCUUUUAUGUUUCUUUUUCUUUGUUUGAGUUGGUAUAAGGUUGUCUCCUUGAUUUAGUUUUCCUCUCUACGGAGAACAUGUAAUUAUUUUACUUGCGGGUGAGAUAAGAGGAGUUGGUGAAGGACCCU
rnacentral:misc_RNA from 1 species